UACGUAGGGUGCGAGCGUUAAUCGGAAUUACUGGGCGUAAAGAGCUCGUAGGUGGUUUGUCGCGUUGUCCGUGAAAACUCACAACUCAAUUGUGGGCGUGCGGGCGAUACGGGCAGACUGGAGUACUGCAGGGGAGACUGGAAUUCCAGGUGUAGCGGUGAAAUGCGUAGAUAUCUGGAGGAACACCGGUGGCGAAGGCGGCAUCCUGGACCAACACUGACGCUGAGGCACGAAAGUGUGGGGAUCAAACAGG
rnacentral:rRNA from 1 species